CUACGGGACGCAGCAGUGGGGAAUAUUGCGCAAUGGGCGAAAGCCUGACGCAGCAACGCCGCGUGAUCGAUGAAGCUUCAAGGAGUGUAAAGAUCUGUCCUAAGGGAAGAAUGGUUCCAAGUCGAAUAGGCUUGGUUCGUGACGGUACCUUAGAAGAAAGCGCCGGCUAACUUCGUGCCAGCAGCCGCGGUAAUACGAGGGGCGCAAGCGUUGUCCGGAUUCAUUGGGUGUAAAGGGUGCGUAGGUGGAUUUGUAAGUUGGAAUUUAAAUCCCGCAGCUUAACUGCGGACCUGGUUUCAAACUGCAGAUCUUGAGUUCGAAAGAGGGGAGUGGAAUUCCUAGUGUAGCGGUGGAAUGCGUAGAUAUUAGGAGGAACACCAGUGGCGAAGGCGGCCCUCUGGUUCGAUACUGACACUAAGGCACGAAAGCGUGGGGAGCAAACAGGAUUAGAUACCCCCGUAGUC
rnacentral:rRNA from 1 species